ACAAGACACUCCCUCUUCUCUCUCUCUCUCUCUUUCUCCCUUUCUUUCUCUCUGUUUAUUUGCUGUGUGGGAGCGCACACGAUGAAAUGAUACAUAUAUAUAUAUAUAUAUAUGCACGUGCGUGUAUCUGCGUGUGUGAGGGAGGGAGGGAGAAAGAGGAGGAGAAACGGCCACACGCUAAACUGACGGA
rnacentral:miRNA from 1 species